AUCGCGACGUAAUGUUCCCGCGAAAUUUGUCAUCGCGUUAUUUAAUUGUUUUAAAAUGAAAGGAAUUAAAGAAAUAUAUAUGGAGCACAUGGUUGCACGUGGUGACAGCGUGGGUGACUGAAUUUCUAGGUUCGUAAAUUUCAUUCUUAUAAUUAUUACUGUUAUUAUGAUUAUUUAAAAAGAUAUUUUCUUAAGUUUUUUCUAGGUUCUUAGGUUUUUCAAUAACUUCUGCUGAUGAGAUGCAGCAACAGGAGAAGAUAAAAAUCAAAUUAUUACUGAAAACAUUAACUGUUUACAUUGUUGUUUUAGUAAUAUAUUUAAUUUUAAUUAUUAAAAUGUAUCUUUAAAGAAAGAGGAAAAAAAUAUGUAGCAUCAGAGGGGGUACUAACGAAAACAGCAGGAUGUUUUCCUUCCCCUAAGAGAGAAAGGAUAAGAAGAGGAUGGCGCAGUGGGUGGAAGUAUGUGACAACCCAAAGUAAGUGCUUCCUCCUGAAAACUGAAAUUCUGGGUGAUCUGUAGCAGCUACUUUGAAGAAAAAUACUUCAUACGGAAAAGAUUUACAACAUCAGCAGUUCCAACAUGUCAGAGGCUGCCGCAAUUAAAGAAAGGUGAUAUGAUUUUUCGAAGAAAAGGUCAUAUUUUAUUCCAAGUGUGGCAAGACAAACGAGAUAUCUAAAUGAUAUCAUCCAUUCAUAACACAAAAAUGAUUGAUACCAACGAGAAAACUAAAUAUGGUGACAAAAUUUUUAAACCUAAAUGUAUUAUUGAAUAUAAUAAAUAUAUGAAGGGUGUCGACAGAGCUGAUUAAUACUUAUCGUAUUUUGGAGUUUUGAGAAAAAUUCAAAAAUGAACAAAAAGAGUAGUACUAUUUUUGAUAAAUUGUGCUCUUCUUAAUGCUUA